rnacentral:lncRNA from 1 species
AGGAGACGAGAAGACCAAAAGAGAAUGAAGCUGUCUCGACCCCAAGGCAGGAUAACUAGUCGAUGAGCAUUACUUACAGAGAAGGUAAUUCUCAAUUCCUGCUAUGAAUCUAUGAUUAUAUGUUCUGAGGAUAUUGUGAAUUUGGAAGCUGGUUAAAGAUGUAUUUAUAUGAGAAUGUCGCACUUAGUGAAUGUAAGAAUUUAAGCAGAGAAGCCAAGUUGGGAAAAUAAUAAUGCAGGGAAGGUGUUUGUCGAAAUGCUUGAUAUAUUCGCCAUUGUCAGAUAUUCUCAUUUCUAUCAUAUGGGUUAAGUGAGUCCCUUACGGUUCAGUUGGGGUAAGUGGAAAAACUCAAAAACGCUACUUUCUAAAAUUUGACCUUUGAUUUCUGUCUUGAAAGUCAGAGAGGUUUUGUGGAUAAAUUCUCAUGAUUUCUUUAUUGUCGUUAUCGCCAACUGAAUGCAUCUUAAAUAUUGUAGUAACUUUUUUUUUAGAUUUUCAACCCAAGUCAGAGAGCUUGCUGUUUUUCACCUUUUCUCUAAUUUAUAACACUGAAAACUCAAAAUACCCUAGUCUUUUGCUGAGCAUUGACAUAGAUACACUCAUGCUCUCCUUUCUUGUUUUCACCAUCGCAUCUCUUACUCUUUGUGGUUAAUGGCAGAUCGACAUUAAAGGCACUCGUGCAUGCACUGCCUUUAAAUAUUGAUCCACUUCACUAUGUUGUGCUGAUCAAUCAAAAACGUUAAAGCUUUAAUCAAAAUUUCUCUUCUUUGCUUCCGAUAUAAUAAAUUCUUUAGUUGGAUAUUCCUGUACCAGUGUAUUUUCAGCUUGAAAUUCAGUUUUGUACAAUUGACACCAACUUGUUUGAUGCAAUGCCUGCUAGAGAUCUUGUUAUUUUUGGCAUUUCUUUAGCUGGUAACAAUGUUGUUAGAUAUUAGACCCUGAUGAAUUUUUUAUUGGGUAUUACAGUUUCUCAGCUACAAUAUUGGAUGCUUCAAAUACAUCGGAUCGACAAGAAGCAUUGUAGUUGUUACAACUUUAAUCAGUGAAAAGCUAAUGAUAUUAGCUGAAAUUUGAGACACAUAUUUCUGGAAAGGGGAUUG